rnacentral:rRNA from 1 species
UACGUAGGCAGCAAGCGUUGUUCGGAGUUACUGGGCGUAAAGGGUGCGUAGGCGGGUCUUUAAGUCAGGGGGGAAAUCCUGGAGCUCAACUCCAGAACCGCCUUUGAUACUGAAGAUCUUGAGUUCGGGAGAGGUGAGUGGAACUGCGAGUGUAGAGGUGAAAUUCGUAGAUAUUCGCAAGAACACCAGUGGCGAAGGCGGCUCACUGGCCCGAUACUGACGCUGAGGCACGAAAGCGUGGGGAGCAAACAGG